UAGAGUUUGAUCAUGGCUCAGGACUAACGCUGGCGGUAGCCUUAGACAUGCAAGUCGAACGAGUUUCCGGGCUUGCUCGGAAAUUAGUGGCGAACGGCUGAGUAACGCGUAGGUGACCUACCCCGUAGUGUGGAAUAACUGCCCGAAAGGGUAGCUAAUACCGCAUGUUGAGCCGACAUCAAUGUCGUCUCCAAAGCAGAAAUGCGCUAUGGGCGGGGCCUGCGUUCGAUUAGCUAGUUGGUGGGGUAAUGGCUCACCAAGGCGACGAUCGAUAGGUGGUCUGAGAGGACGAUCACCCAGACUGGGACUGAGACACGGCCCAGACUCCUACGGGAGGCAGCAGUCGGGAAUUUUGCGCAAUGGGGGAAACCCUGACGCAGCAAUACCGCGUGUGGGAUGAAGGCCUUCGGGUCGUAAACCACUUUUUUCGGGGACGAUAAUGACGGUACCCGAAGAAUAAGCCACGGCUAACUACGUGCCAGCAGCCGCGGUAAUACGUAGGUGGCAAGCGUUGUCCGGAUUUACUGGGCGUAAAGCGCGCGCAGGCGGUGAAUGAAGUCGAAAGUGAAAGCCCCGGGCUCAACUCGGGAACUGCUUUCGAAACCAGUUCACUUGAAGGCGGAAGAGGGAAGUGGAAUUCCGAGUGUAGUGGUGGAAUGCGUAGAUAUUCGGAAGAACACCAGAGGCGAAGGCGACUUCCUGGUCCGAUCUUGACGCUGAGGCGCGAAAGCUAGGGGAGCAAACGGAAUUAGAUACCCCGGUAGUCCUAGCUGUAAACGAUGGAUACUAGGUGUUGGAGGUUUUAACCCCUCCGGUGCCGCAGCUAACGCAUUAAGUAUCCCGCCUGGGGAGUACGGCCGCAAGGCUAAAACUCAAAGGAAUUGACGGGGGGCCCCCGCACAAGCAGCGGAGCGUGGGG
rnacentral:rRNA from 1 species